ensembl:lncRNA
GCCGCCUCUACACUCUAACCACUAGGCUACCCUGCCUCCUCUACACUCUAACCACUAGGCUACCUGCCUCCUCUACACUCUACCCACUAGGCUACCCUGCCGCCUCUACACUCUAACCACUAGGCUACCCUGCCUCCUCUACACUCUAACCACUAGGCUACCCUGCCUCCUCUACACUCUAACCACUAGGCUACCCUGCCUCCUCUACACUCUAACCACUAGGCUACCUGCCUCCUCUACACUCUAACCACUAGGCUACCCUGCCGCCUCUACACUCUAACCACUAGGCUACCUGCCGCC